GUCGAGCGGUAACAUUUCUAGCUUGCUAGAAGAUGACGAGCGGCGGACGGGUGAGUAAUACUUAGGAAUCUACCUAGUAGUGGGGGAUAGCACGGGGAAACUCGUAUUAAUACCGCAUACGACCUACGGGAGAAAGGGGGCAGUUUACUGCUCUCGCUAUUAGAUGAGCCUAAGUCGGAUUAGCUAGAUGGUGGGGUAAAGGCCUACCAUGGCGACGAUCUGUAGCUGGUCUGAGAGGAUGAUCAGCCACACCGGGACUGAGACACGGCCCGGACUCCUACGGGAGGCAGCAGUGGGGAAUAUUGGACAAUGGGGGAAACCCUGAUCCAGCCAUGCCGCGUGUGUGAAGAAGGCCUUUUGGUUGUAAAGCACUUUAAGCAGUGAAGAAGACUCCUCGGUUAAUACCCGUGGACGAUGACAUUAGCUGCAGAAUAAGCACCGGCUAACUCUGUGCCAGCAGCCGCGGUAAUACAGAGGGUGCAAGCGUUAAUCGGAAUUACUGGGCGUAAAGGGAGCGUAGGUGGCUCGAUAAGUCAGAUGUGAAAUCCCCGGGCUCAACCUGGGAACUGCAUCUGAUACUGUUGAGCUAGAGUAUGUGAGAGGAAGGUAGAAUUCCAGGUGUAGCGGUGAAAUGCGUAGAGAUCUGGAGGAAUACCGAUGGCGAAGGCAGCCUUCUGGCAUAAUACUGACACUGAGGCUCGAAAGCGUGGGUAGCAAACAGGAUUAGAUACCCUGGUAGUCCACGCCGUAAACGAUGUCUACUAGUCGUUGGGUCCCUUGAGGACUUAGUGACGCAGCUAACGCAAUAAGUAGACCGCCUGGGGAGUACGGCCGCAAGGUUAAAACUCAAAUGAAUUGACGGGGGCCCGCACAAGCGGUGGAGCAUGUGGUUUAAUUCGAUGCAACGCGAAGAACCUUACCUGGUCUUGACAUAUCUAGAAUCCUGCAGAGAUGCGGGAGUGCCUUCGGGAAUUAGAAUACAGGUGCUGCAUGGCUGUCGUCAGCUCGUGUCGUGAGAUGUUGGGUUAAGUCCCGCAACGAGCGCAACCCUUGUCCUUAGUUACCAGCGGGUUAAGCCGGGAACUCUAAGGAUACUGCCAGUGACAAACUGGAGGAAGGCGGGGACGACGUCAAGUCAUCAUGGCCCUUACGACCAGGGCUACACACGUGCUACAAUGGUAGGUACAGAGGGCAGCUACACAGCGAUGUGAUGCGAAUCUCAAAAAGCCUAUCGUAGUCCAGAUUGGAGUCUGCAACUCGACUCCAUGAAGUAGGAAUCGCUAGUAAUCGCGGAUCAGAAUGCCGCGGUGAAUACGUUCCCGGGCCUUGUACACACCGC
rnacentral:rRNA from 1 species